UACAGAGGUCUCAAGCGUUGUUCGGAUUCAUUGGGCGUAAAGGGUGCGUAGGCGGCUCGGUAAGUCGGGUGUGAAAUCUCGGAGCUUAACUCCGAAACUGCAUUCGAUACUGCCGUGCUUGAGGACUGGAGAGGAGACUGGAAUUUACGGUGUAGCGGUGAAAUGCGUAGAUAUCGUAAGGAAGACCAGUGGCGAAGGCGGGUCUCUGGACAGUUCCUGACACUGAGGCACGAAGGCCAGGGGAGCAAACGGG
rnacentral:rRNA from 1 species